UAAGACGAACCGUCCAAACGUUAUUCGGAAUCACUGGGCUUAAAGGGUGCGUAGGCGGCUUGGCAAGUUGGGUGUGAAAUCCCUCGGCUCAACCGAGGAACUGCGCUCAAAACUGCCAAGCUAGAGGAAGAUAGAGGUGAGCGGAACUAAUGGUGGAGCGGUGAAAUGCGUUGAUAUCAUUAGGAACGCCCGUGGCGAAAGCGGCUCACUGGGUCUUUUCUGACGCUGAGGCACGAAAGCUAGGGUAGCGAACGGGAUUAGAUACCCCGGUAGUCCUAGCUGUAAACGAUGAGCACUAGGUUGGAGGCUCCUCCAUAGGUUUCCGACCGAAGCGAAAGUGUUAAGUGCUCCGCCUGGGGAGUAUGGUCGCAAGGCUG
rnacentral:rRNA from 1 species